rnacentral:rRNA from 1 species
AACGCUAGCUACAGGCUUAACACAUGCAAGUCGAGGGGCAGCAUGAACUUAGCUUGCUAAGUUUGAUGGCGACCGGCGCACGGGUGAGUAACGCGUAUGCAACUUACCUAUCAGAGGAGAAUAGCUCAUCGAAAGAUGAAUUAAUGCUCCAUAAAACAGGGGUCCCGCAUGGGAAUAUUUGUUAAAGAUUCAUCGCUGAUAGAUAGGCAUGCGUUCCAUUAGGCAGUUGGCGGGGUAACAGCCCACCAAACCGACGAUGGAUAGGGGUUCUGAGAGGAAGGUCCCCCACAUUGGUACUGAGACACGGACCAAACUCCUACGGGAGGCAGCAGUGAGGAAUAUUGGUCAAUGGGCGCGAGCCUGAACCAGCCAAGUAGCGUGCAGGAUGACGGCCCUAUGGGUUGUAAACUGCUUUUAUGCGGGGAUAAAGUUUGCCAUGUAUGGCAUUUUGCAGGUACCGCAUGAAUAAGGACCGGCUAAUUCCGUGCCAGCAGCCGCGGUAAUACGGAAGGUCCGGGCGUUAUCCGGACUUAUUGGGUUUAAAGGGAGCGUAGGCCGUCGUUUAAGCGUGUUGUGAAAUGUAGGUGCUCAACAUCUGCACUGCAGCGCGAACUGGUUUCCUUGAGUACGCACAAAGUGGGCGGAAUUCGUGGUGUAGCGGUGAAAUGCUUAGAUAUCACGAAGAACUCCGAUUG